rnacentral:rRNA from 1 species
AGAACGAACGCUGGCGGCAUGCCUAAUACAUGCAAGUCGAACGAACACUUCGGUGUUAGUGGCGCACGGGUGCGUAACGCGUGGGAAUCUGCCCUUGGGUUCGGAAUAACAGUUGGAAACGACUGCUAAUACCGGAUGAUGACGAAAGUCCAAAGAUUUAUCGCCCAGGGAUGAGCCCGCGUAGGAUUAGCUAGUUGGUGAGGUAAAGCUCACCAAGGCGACGAUCCUUAGCUGGUCUGAGAGGAUGAUCAGCCACACUGGGACCUGACGACACCGGCCCAGACCUCCUACGGGAGGCAGCCAGUAGGGUAAUUUGGACAAGUGGCGAGAGCCUGAUCCAGUCAAUGCCGCGUGCAAGGAAG